UACAGAGACUGCAAGCGUUAUUCGGAUUCACUGGGCGUAAAGGGUGCGCAGGCGGCCAAGUGUGUGAGGCGUGAAAGCCUGGAGCUUAACUCCAGAAUUGCACCUCAAACUACUUGGCUAGAGCAUUGGAGAGGGUAGCAGAAUUCAUGGUGUAGCAGUGAAAUGCGUAGAUAUCAUGAGGAAUACCAGAGGCGAAGGCGGUUACCUGGACAAUUGCUGACGCUCAGGCACGAAAGCGUGGGGAGCAAAAGGG
rnacentral:rRNA from 1 species